rnacentral:rRNA from 1 species
GCAGUCGAGGGGCAGCAUCAUCAAAGCUUGCUUUGAUGGAUGGCGACCGGCGCACGGGUGAGUAACACGUAUCCAACCUGCCGACAACACUGGGAUAGCCUUUCGAAAGAAAGAUUAAUACCGGAUGGCAUAGUUUUCCCGCAUGGGAUAAUUAUUAAAGAAUUUCGGUUGUCGAUGGGGAUGCGUUCCAUUAGGCAGUUGGCGGGGUAACGGCCCACCAAACCAACGAUGGAUAGGGGUUCUGAGAGGAAGGUCCCCCACAUUGGAACUGAGACACGGUCCAAACUCCUACGGGAGGCAGCAGUGAGGAAUAUUGGUCAAUGGACGAGAGUCUGAACCAGCCAAGUAGCGUGAAGGAUGACUGCCCUAUGGGUUGUAACCUUCUUUUAUACGGGAAUAAAGUUAGCCACGUGUGGCUUUUUGUAUGUACCGUAUGAAUAAGGAUCGGCUAACUCCGUGCCAGCAGCCGCGGUAAUACGGAGGAUCCGAGCGUUAUCCGGAUUUAUUGGGUUUAAAGGGAGCGUAGGCGGGUUGUUAAGUCAGUUGUGAAAGUUUGCGGCUCAACCGUAAAAUUGCAGUUGAUACUGGCGACCUUGAGUGCAACAGAGGUAGGCGGAAUUCGUGGUGUAGCGGUGAAAUGCUUAGAUAUCACGAAGAACUCCGAUUGCGAAGGCAGCUUACUGGAUUGUAACUGACGCUGAUGCUCGAAAGUGUGGGUAUCAAACAGGAUUAGAUACCCUGGUAGUCCACACAGUAAACGAUGAAUACUCGCUGUUGGCGAUAUACAGUCAGCGGCCAAGCGA